rnacentral:rRNA from 1 species
AUGAAGAGUUUGAUCCUGGCUCAGGAUGAACGCUAGCGGCAGGCUUAACACAUGCAAGUCGAGGGGUAACAGAGAAAGCUUGCUUUCUGCUGACGACCGGCGCACGGGUGCGUAACGCGUAUGCAACCUACCUUAUACUGGGGAAUAGCCCGAAGAAAUUCGGAUUAAUGCCCCAUAGUAUUGUCGAUUCGCAUGUUUUGACAAUUAAAGAUUACGGUAUAAGAUGGGCAUGCGUCCCAUUAGCUAGAUGGUAAGGUAACGGCUUACCAUGGCAACGAUGGGUAGGGGGCCUGAGAGGGUGAUCCCCCACACUGGUACUGAGACACGGACCAGACUCCUACGGGAGGCAGCAGUGAGGAAUAUUGGUCAAUGGAGGCAACUCUGAACCAGCCAUGCCGCGUGCAGGAAGACGGUCCUAUGGAUUGUAAACUGCUUUUAUUUGGGAAUAAACCUGGGUACGUGUACCCAGCUGAAUGUACCAAACGAAUAAGCACCGGCUAACUCCGUGCCAGCAGCCGCGGUAAUACGGAGGGUGCAAGCGUUAAUCGGAUUUACUGGGCGUAAAGCGUGCGUAGGCGGCAUGUUAAGUCGGAUGUGAAAUCCCAGGGCUUAACCUUGGAACUGCAUCCGAAACUGGCAAGCUAGAGAUCGGUAGAGGUUGGUGGAAUUCCCGGUG